rnacentral:rRNA from 1 species
UGCAGAAUCCCGUGAAUCAUCGAGUCUUUGAACGCAAGUUGCGCCCGAGGCCUUCUGGCCGAGGGCACGCCUGCCUGGGCGUCACGC